CCUCCCAGCCCUGCAGGGAUUUGCAUCCACGUGGAAAGCAUGGCUCAGUCAUAGGCAGACAUCAGCACCACGUUGUUCCCUGCUCCUCAUCCACUCCAAGGCAGCAUCAGGCACCAUUCAUCUUUAUAUCCAUGUCUAUUUGCUGAGACCCUGUCAGUGUAGCAUCAGCAGGUUUUAUGACUCAGAACCAGUUUCUUCUCAUUCCUCUUCACAGAAUAAGAAAACUAAAGCUUAGAGGGGUCAUAAAGUUGUGCCCUGAUUCUCGCACUGGAAGGAAGCCCCGAGAACCUGCACCCAUCCCCACCUGGCCUCCUUCACCUACUUGGGAAUGAGCCUGGGAAACACAGGCUGACUCUGGGAUGAUGUUGGAGAGGCUCUACAUCCUGUGGGCACUCACCACUCCACGUUACCCAGUGAGUCAAAGGCUUCUAGAAAGACAUUUAGUCACUCAAAGACACUGCAGAUCCCAGUGUCCAAGGAGGAACUUUCACUCUGGAAAACACGAGCUCAUUUCCCUUGGAGGAAAUCAUUUCUUCAGGACACUGAAUGGCACCAACCAGCACCCAGGAUCCUGAGAGGGUAUUGCAGCUCCCAAAACACCACUGGUGUGAGAAGCUCAAACCUUACAAAUACCAUGUUAUUCUUCCUGUGGAGGACUGCUUCUCCCAGAGAGCCCUAUCAAUACCUCCAAUGCGAUGUGAUCUUUUCACAAAAUGACCUCAACAUUCUUUACUGAAUGAUGACUGUGUGGCCACUCGUAUUUGCUUUUUUAAUUCCUCCCGUCUAUCUUAAAUUUCACGUCUUUUGACCAAUACCUUCUUAAUGACCCCCUCACAAGUCCCAUGAAAACACCAUCCUACUCUUUACUUCUGUGAGUUCAGCUUUUUUAGAUUUUACCUGUAGGUAGAUCAUGCACUAUUUGUCUCUCUGUGUCUGACAUGUUUCACUGAACACAAUGUCCUCCAGGUCCUUCCGUUUCACACAAAUGAUAGGAUUUUCUUCUUUUUUAAGUCUUAAUAGUAUUCCCUGUUGUAUAUAUGUCACCUUUUCUUCAUCCGUUCGUCUGUUCAUAAACACUUAGGUUGACUCCAUAUCCUGGCUAUUGUGAAGAGGGCGCAGUGAACCUGAGUGAAGAUAGCUUUUCCAUGUACUGGUUUUCAUUCCUUUGGAGAUAGCCCCAGUUCUGGGACCUCUGCAUCAUUCAGUAGUUCUAUUUUUUGAGGAACUUCCACACUAUCUUUCCAUUAUGUGUGUACAAAUUUGCAUUCCCUAUAUCUCUAUUAUGACAGGUCAAGCACAGAAUACAAUGGGUUAUAUUUUAGGUCUUAUUGAAACAGUCUCAAGACAUGUAUACCUAAUUUGAUAAGUUUGGGAGCAUAAUCCAAUAAUAUAAGGAACUGUAUCUUUGCUUUUAACAUAUAUGCUUACCCACCAUAAUAACAUAAUUAAUUUCAACAAUUUGGUAACCUGGCUCACGGGAAGAAAGAAAUAAGUGAGGUUACCUGUGCAUCAAAUCCUUGAAUAAAUAUUUUCUUAAAUAACCAAGACCUCUGGAAAGAUUCUGUCUUUGACCCCAUAAUAAAAUGGUAUAAGAUUAGCCCUACUGGCCAGGCGUGGUGGCUCACGACUGUAAUCUCAGCACUUUGGGAGACCGAGGCAGGUGGAUCACGAGGUCAGAAGAGGGAGACCAUCCUGGGCAACAUGGUGAAACCCAUCUCUACUGAAAAUACAAAAAUUAGCUGGGCAUGGUGAAAAUACAAAAAUUAGCUGGGCAUGGUGGCAUGCACCUGUAGUCCCAGCUACUCAGGAGGCGGAGGCAGGAGAAUCACUUGAACCUGGGAGGCGGAGGUUGCAGUGAACUGAGAUCGCACCACCGCACUCCAGCCUGGGUGAUGACAGAGCGAGACUCCGUCUCAAAAAAAAAAAAAAAAAAAA
rnacentral:lncRNA from 1 species